rnacentral:rRNA from 1 species
UGCGUAGGGACCAAGCGUUGUUCGGAUUUACUGGGCGUAAAGGGCGCGUAGGCGGCAAUUCAAGUCAUCUGUGAAAUCUUCGGGCUUAACUCGAAACGGUCAGAUGAUACUGUCUUGCUAGAGUGCAGAAGGGGCAAUCGGAAUUCUUGGUGUAGCGGUGAAAUGCGUAGAUAUCAAGAGGAACACCUGAGGUGAAGACGGGUUGCUGGGCUGACACUGACGCUGAUGCGCGAAAGCCAGGGGAGCAAACGGG